rnacentral:rRNA from 1 species
GCACGAUGUAGCAAUACAUUGGUGGCGACCGGCGCACGGGUGCGUAACACGUAUGCAACUUACCCUUUACUGGGAGAUAGCCCGGAGAAAUCCGGAUUAAUAUCCCAUAACAUUCGAGGAGGAUUCUCCUUGUUUUGAAAGCUCCGGCGGUAAAGGAUGGGCAUGCGCCCGAUUAGCUAGUUGGUGAGGUAACGGCUCACCAAGGCUACGAUCGGUAGGGGGCCUGAGAGGGUUAUCCCCCACACUGGUACUGAGACACGGACCAGACUCCUACGGGAGGCAGCAGUGAGGAAUAUUGCGCAAUGGAGGCAACUCUGACGCAGCCAUGCCGCGUGCAGGAAGAAGGCGCUACGCG